CUUGGCAGAGUCAUUGCUAUCAGACCCUGUUCCCAUCUCCAGGACACAUAACUUGCAUUCAACUUUCGCGGCUCUGAUGUCUGGCAUGCCUACUGAAGCCAUUGGGGCAUAAUUAACUAUUGUUUAGCAGCUUCAGUAGACAUGCCAGAUAUCUAAGCCAAUCAUUAUAACAGUGUUUUAUGUUGCAGGCACUGCUCAAAGUUGCAAACCUUAAGAUUCAAAUGUUCAUGAAUUGCAGAGAAAAAUUGUCAGAAAUGCCACUGAAAAGGUCACUGCCAUGACCAGAAUUCAGGCCAGCCCUCCAGGGGCCUGCAGUUUGUACUGGGGACCAAGAGUCAGCAGGCAGUGGUGGACACUUUCUUCAUGGCCAACCUGGGUUAUUUCCAACUGAAAGCUAAGCCAGGGGCUUGGAUGUUACAACUUUAACAUGAACAUUCAGAGGAAAUCUACAAGAUAGCAAGCCAUGAGAGGACAGACUCUCCACCAGAUUCACCUAACAUUACUAUUGUCAUGAACAGCUUCCUCAGUAAAAUCAUCAAAGUCAAGGUAAGCAAGAAGCCAGGGCAGGAGUCAGAUGAUUCGUUGGGAGGAGUAGGAGACAAGAGGAGGGGUUAUGAGAUUCUUCAUCCAGUGUAAUAACCCGCAGACCAAAGGACCUAAGCUGAAUGAAGCUAAGAGAAUAGUAGCUGAGUGGGAAGAAUAUGACAAUGAAGCAAGGAGGAUAUUUGAAAACUUUACCAGAAAUAAACCCACACUAAGUUCACUAAGUGCUGACCACAGUUAAGCACAAGAAACCAGUACACAACCAAGAGAUGAGCUGUGAUACUAGCCUAUCACUAGUUAAGCUCCUGCAAUUGAGGGAAGUGCUGUCUGCAUUCCAUUUAUUCCUUCUCAACAGAAAAUGCUCUCCAGUAUGAAUUUUGAUGAUGUUAUUCCUAGUUGGUGAAAGAGAUUUAGAUCGAUCCAGAGAUUUAGAUUUAGAUCGACCUAACUCCCUGGGGGUUCCACUAAAUUGCAGUCAGC